UGGGGAAUAUUGGACAAUGGGCGCAAGCCUGAUCCAGCCAUGCCGCGUGAGUGAUGAAGGCCCUAGGGUUGUAAAGCUCUUUCACCGGUGAAGAUAAUGACGGUAACCGGAGAAGAAGCCCCGGCUAACUUCGUGCCAGCAGCCGCGGUAAUACGAAGGGGGCUAGCGUUGUUCGGAUCUACUGGGCGUAAAGCGCACGUAGGCGGACUAUUAAGUCAGGGGUGAAAUCCCGGGGCUCAACCCCGGAACUGCCUUUGAUACUGGUAGUCUUGAGUUCGAGAGAGGUGAGUGGAAUUCCGAGUGUAGAGGUGAAAUUCGUAGAUAUUCGGAGGAACACCAGUGGCGAAGGCGGCUCACUGGCUCGAUACUGACGCUGAGGUGCGAAAGCGUGGGGAGCAAACAGG
rnacentral:rRNA from 1 species